rnacentral:lncRNA from 1 species
AGUCUGUUCUGACGGAGCCGAAGUACAGAAACCAUAUUUACAGGUACAUAUGACAGUGCUGCAGCGAUGAGCGGAAUUUUAAAAGGGAAGUUGGAAGAAAUUGACGGCUCCUCACCCUGCUCCUCUGUGCAAGAAUCCGAUGAUGAAGUUUUUAGCUCUGACAUUGCUGCCAGUAUUGAUAGGGUCAGUCUGUCCACUUCUAAUCAUUUCACUGGAAAAAAUAAGGAGAUAUCAACAGACUGAAAAGAUGUUUUCAGAGGCCUAGAGUCUUCAGGAAGAUACUGGAGUUCAUGAGAUCUCAAGGUUAGUAGACAUUACUAUUUUCAUGCUUUUACAGAUCUGGGAUAUAACUUUCUCACUGUUCCCUGUUGUUAUGGCUAAUGUGUAAUUGGAUAAUAAAGAAAAACUGAUCUUGUAUAAAACAUAUUUUUAACAAAAUCUCUUCAGUGUUUUUAGAAAUUCAUUUAUACCAGAAAUGUAUUAUUUCAUUCAGCUGGGAUGGUUACAAGAAAAUAUUGUUUUAGUGGAGAAUACAUUGGUUAUUAAAUUUUUCUUCACUUUUUUAAAGGGUAGUACUGUUAGCAUGAAAAUGAAUAUUAGACAUUCCUAUAAAAUUCUAUUUUUGAUUUGUGUCUUUGGUUACAACCAACACAUAUAUACACACAUAGUUUAGAAAGAUAGUUGAUCAACAAUCCCAUUCUCUGACUUUUCCUAGUACAGGAAAAGAAAUUUUACUUUUGUUGGAAAAUGUGACCUCGAUAAAAUAACAGCUACUAUGAAUGAGCAAAAAAAGAUAUUUGAGUAGCUUUUCUAAGUUGUUUAGUGUCAUAAGUCUAGAAAAGAAAAGCAAAAUAAGCCUACUCUUAUUAAAUGGCUUAUUAUAAUAAUAUAUGUAAAAUGUUCAUUUGGAAGUUUGAGUUAUAGUAUAGGUAAAAAUGUUUCGUUCUGAUGGGAUAGCUUGAGAAUGUGGGUGAUUUCUGACUCCUUUAUAUUGUGGGACCCAAUAUCAUAAUUUAUAAUUCUAAAUGAAAUGUAUAAACCUCUUAUUUACUUGUAAUUAUUUGUGGUGUUUAUUUACAUUUAUUGAGGUAACAUUACAUUAUAUAAGUUGCACAUGUACAUUAUAUUUUUACUUCUGUAUAUACUACAGCAUGCUCACCAUUAAAAAUUUAGUUUCUAUCUUUUAUCAUAUAGUUGACCCUUCUUAUCCAUCGCCCACCCUACCCCCAACCCCUUCCUUUCUAGUAACCACUAUUUUGUUCUCAGUAAUGAUCUUUUAUUUUGAUUGCCUUGGUUAGACUUGCUUUCAAUAUCUACUUUUCUUUACUCAUCCAAGGAUAUAUUCAUUCAGAAUUUAUUUAGGACUUACAUAUGCGAGACAGUGGGCUGAAUAUUGCUUUGGUUAUUUCAAAAUAAGUAAGAUUUUGUUCUUGUUCUUAAGAAUUGCCUGACUAACAUGUUACUCAGAAAAUAAUUUUAAUAUUAAUGCAAGCAACACAUAAGUAAAAGACAGGCUAGCUUUUAAAGGAGACAUAAUGAAUUCUGAAAUGCAAUAGGAAUUAUUUUGGGAUUAUUCAUAUUUCCACAUUAUGGCUUUUGUUAGACUACAAUACUGAGAGUUUAUAGUAAUGAGAGUGGUGCUCCUUUACAACACACACCCAAAUGACCCUUUAUUAAAGUAGCUCUUUAAAGAAGUAAUACAAGAUUCUAAGAAAGUCUCUUAUUUGUCACAAUUGCAAGUGUAAUGUAAUAGAAAAUAGUUAUGCAAACAUCUAUGAAAAGAACAAAGGUGAGCAUUACCUACUUGGUGUUUUUAAUUCCUGAACAGGCAACUUCUUACUAGAGAAUUAAAAAAUUUCCCCAGUGACCUAGAAAGGCAUGUAGAUUUGCAAUGCUUGUAAUGUAGGUUUGAAUGCUAUAAACCCCUAAGGAAUCCAUAUGCAAAUACCUAGGUAAGGAAAGAGAUUUGCAGUGGAGUGGGAGUUCACACUGCUUGAAAUGGAAUUGCACAGCACUAUGCUUCUCACAAAAAGUUUUUAAAAAGGUACUAUCAUAAGACAUUAAAGUAAGUCAAGUAAUUAAAAAUAGUAAACAUCCUUUUGAAAAGUCAGUGUUCUUAAUUGCUCUGCUAAAGUGGUUAAAUUAAUUUAUAUAGUAACCACAAUCAUUCAACAAAUAUUUAUCAAUUGCCCACCAUGUGCAUGGGGGUGACAAUGGUAAAUAAAAUACACCAAUAUCCUCGCCUCAGUGGAA